rnacentral:rRNA from 1 species
ACGGGAGGCAGCAGUGGGGAAUAUUGCACAAUGGGGGAAACCCUGAUGCAGCGACGCCGCGUGAGCGAUGAAGUAUUUCGGUAUGUAAAGCUCUAUCAGCAGGGAAGAAAAUGACGGUACCUGACUAAGAAGCUCCGGCUAAUACGUGCCAGCAGCCGCGGUAAUACGUAUGGAGCAAGCGUUAUCCGGAUUUACUGGGUGUAAAGGGAGCGCAGGCGGUUUGGCAAGUCUGAAGUGAAAGCCCGUGGCUCAACCGCGGGACUGCUUUGGAAACUGUCAAACUAGAGUAUCGGAGAGGCAAGUGGAAUUCCUAGUGUAGCGGUGAAAUGCGUAGAUAUUAGGAGGAACACCAGUGGCGAAGGCGGCUUGCUGGACGAUAACUGACGCUGAGGCUCGAAAGCGUGGGGAGCAAACAGGAUUAGAUACCCUGGUA